AAUACGGAGGGUGCGAGCGUUGUCCGGAAUCAUUGGGCGUAAAGGGCGCGUAGGUGGCCCGGUCAGUCUUUGGUGAAAGCGCGGGGCUCAACCCUGCGUCGGCCAGGGAUACUGCCGCGGCUGGAGCACUGUAGAGGCAGGCGGAAUUCCGGGUGUAGCGGUGGAAUGCGUAGAGAUCCGGAAGAACACCGGUGGCGAAGGCGGCCUGCUGGGCAGUUUUGCUGACACUGAGGCGCGACAGCGUGGGGAGCAAACAG
rnacentral:rRNA from 1 species